CCUCAACCACUAGAUUUCAAAUCUAACAGUUAAUAAUGAUUGUGACUUCAUUGUAUAUAAACAGUUUCAUUGUAUAUAUUUCCAAAGAAAAAAGAGCUGAGGUAAACAAGUCACAGGAAAAUAAGUGCACCUUAUGUACGCAUUUAUUUAAAUUCGGCUACCAAACCCUUACAAAGAAAAAUUGAAAUGAUAAGGACCUUGGACAAUUAAGCUGGGCAUUAGUUUAGAGAUAGACAGAGAGAAAAAGAAGCGCUUUAGCAAGGGUAAAAGCAUUGACAGGCACGAGGAAUGCACAGAGCACUUGCCCUUUGCCCAUAAAUCCUCACACAAGUAUCUAUGCAGUCAGGUUGUUCACAAGGGCGAGAGGCAUCGGGUAGGGAAAUGCUGCAUUCCUUUGCAUCUGCAAUUAUUGGUACUUGAUCUGUGCCCAUCAAAAUAGAUCAAAUAUCAAUGAAAAUUUCAUAGGCAUAGGAAGACUCAUGCAAAUUUUGGAAUUUUUUCAGUCAAAUGCAUACCUAUAUUACUUGCAUCCUGCUUGAUUUUAUUUGCACAAAAACAUUAAUGAAGCAUUUGAUGAAAUAUACAAAGGUGUACACGACCAUGAAACAGAAGGUAAAAAAAGUUGGUAAAACUCAAUGUUAGCCACACUUUUUGGGCCCUAAAUUUUGAGCAUGAAAAAUUUAGAACUUAAUAGCCAACUUAAUAGCCCUCAAACCAAGAUUGAACAAGAAUGUUCUAAUUUUUAGAAGGCAAGAUCAGGAUCUCAAACAUCUAAAUGUCUUCUUUUUUUUUGGAAAAUAAUCAUUUGUACCUAGACGGAUCCCAAAAUUUUGGACAAAAACAAUCUUUCCAAAGUAUUUUUUGCCCGAGGGAGUUGUUGUGCAGUAUGCUCUGGCUUAAAGAAGCAUGCUUGAUAAAUAAUAAGAUAUUUUGGCAGCUCAGCUAUGACAUUUGUGUUAAGAAAGUGCAAGCACUUUUGAAAGUGAAAGAAGGGAGGCUCUACAAUUUAAUUUUUUGAUAUUUUGUCUCAAUAUUUGAAAGCAGUUUUUCAAACCCAGAUUGGUAAGAUGAAUCGUCCAGUUACUAGGCAAUACUCCUAAUCGCUUCGGUGAAGACCAAAAAAUUAUUUUUUGUAAUUUUAUUACAGAAAUAAUAAAAAGCAUUAAAAAAAAAUUAAAUUGGAUAGGACCAGCAGUUCAACUGAUCUAGAUAAGAAACUAGGACAGCCCCAUUACAUUGUUUGAUUUCCUAACCAGAUGGGCAGUUUGUUAAACACUACGCUUAAAAACUGAAGAGAGCAAGAGAGAGAAUCAUUGAUGUAAAAGGAAACUCUAGCAGUCAUAUUAGAUCACGAUUAAAAAACUUAUGAGAUCCUAUUUAGAGAGAGAGAUGGAUGGAUCACGAUCUAAAACGUCAAAUCAAUUUAGGAUCGCCGGUCUAAAGAGAAAGAGUGUGAAUGAAAUAUAUAGAAAAUAAUUUUCAUUUAUAUACCAAGAUAUAAAUUAAGACAGGAAUAAAAUCUUUUAAUUCACAAAGACCAAAGGUCAGAUAACUAAAGAGACUUAGGUCCAAGAGGACAAAAAUCAGGAAGUAAUUCUCUUAUUAACACAACGAGAGAGAGAGAGAGAGAGAGAGAGAGAGAGAGAGAGAGAGAGAGAGAGAGAGAGAGAGAGAGAGAGAGAGAGAGAGAGAUAGAGAGAGAGAGAGUAGAGAGAAGAGAGAAGAGUAGAGUAGUAGAGAGAGAGAGANNNNNNNNNNNNNNNNNNNNNNNNNNNNNNNNNNNNNAGAGAGAAGGAGAGAGAGAGAGAUUCAACAUUACCUGCAGCAAUGAGGAGGACAAGAAAAACUAUUGCAGAGAGCAGCUUCAUCUUGGAUGUACCCUCAAACACCAGCUCUUCAC
rnacentral:lncRNA from 1 species